rnacentral:rRNA from 1 species
UACGGGGGGGGCAAGCGUUGUUCGGAAUUACUGGGCGUAAAGGGCUCGUAGGCGGCCAACUAAGUCAGACGUGAAAUCCCUCGGCUUAACCGGGGAACUGCAUCUGAUACUGGAUGGCUUGAGUUCGGGAGAGGGAUGCGGAAUUCCAGGUGUAGCGGUGAAAUGCGCAGAUAUCAGGAGGAACACCAGCGGCGAAGGCGGCGCUCUGGGCUGGAACUGACGCUGAGGAGCGAAAGCGUGGGGAGCGAACAGG